CCUACGGGUGGCAGCAGUGAGGAAUAUUGGUCAAUGGACGAGAGUCUGAACCAGCCAAGUAGCGUGAAGGAUGACUGCCCUAUGGGUUGUAAACUUCUUUUAUCUGGGAAUAAAAUGUUCCACGUGUGGGAUUUUGUAUGUACCAUAUGAAUAAGGAUCGGCUAACUCCGUGCCAGCAGCCGCGGUAAUACGGAGGAACCGAGCGUUAUCCGGAUUUAUUGGGUUUAAAGGGAGCGUAGGUGGAUUGUUAAGUCAGUUGUGAAAGUUUGCGGCUCAACCGUAAAAUUGCAGUUGAAACUGGCAGUCUUGAGUACAGUAGAGGUGGGCGGAAUUCGUGGUGGAGCGGUGAAAUGCUUAGAUAUCACGAAGAACUCCGAUUGCGAAGGCAGUUCACUGGACUGCAACUGACACUGAGGCUCGAAAGUGUGGGUAUCAAACAGGAUUAGAUACCCGAGUAGUC
rnacentral:rRNA from 1 species